CGGCGGACGGGUGAGUAAUGCCUAGGAAUCUGCCUGGUAGUGGGGGACAACGUUUCGAAAGGAACGCUAAUACCGCAUACGUCCUACGGGAGAAAGUGGGGGAUCUUCGGACCUCACGCUAUCAUAUGAGCCUAGGUCGGAUUAGCUAGUUGGUGAGGUAACGGCUCACCAAGGCGACGAUCCGUAACUGGUCUGAGAGGAUGAUCAGUCACACUGGAACUGAGACACGGUCCAG
rnacentral:rRNA from 1 species